ACACCCUUUCCGGACACGGCCAUCCAUCAUGGUAACGCCACCCCGGGCGGUAGCAGGCGGCUCGUCCUCUUUAUCAGCACAACUCCGGAAGCGAGAUCCUUUGCACAUCUGUCGUGGACAAUGUCUUGAGUAGACAGUGGUCCAAGGAGAUACAUGGAGCCACCUCUAACCCAUUUAAAAGCCUGAAGCAGGUCAUCCCCAGAUGACUGGUAGAUCUGUGAGCAAGAAAAAUAAAGGAAAGCUGUAUCAGCAUCACCAGGGAGUGUGGUAAAAAUGCAGAUUCUCAGGCUCCAUCCAGACAUACCCAAUGAGAAUCUGCAUUUGGACACAAUUUCCAGGUGAGUCACCAGCACAAUAAUGAGAAAUAUUGCUUGGAGACAUAGGUCAAGUUCUCCCUGUCCAUGAAGACUUUUCUAAUGACCUCCCGUUAUGACCUUGGGUUGUAUGUCUCCCCAAAAAGAUACGUUGAACUUCUAACCCCAGCACCUCAGAAUGUGAUCUUAUUUGGAAAUAGGGUUAUGGCUGAUAUAACUAGUUGAGGUCAUGCUCCUAAUCCAAUAUAAUCAGUGUCCCUGUAAGAGGAAAGAGACACAGAGACACACAGGGAGAAGACAGCCAUGCGGUGAUGGAAGCAGAGAUUAAAGUGAUGCAUCUACAAGCCAAGAAAUGCUUGAGGCUACCGGAAGCUGGAAAAGGCAAGAAAGGAUCCUCCUCUACAGGCUUUGGAGGGAGCAUAGCCCAGCCAACACCUUGAUUUUGGACUUCUAGCCCCCAGAACUGUGAGAAAAUCCAUUUCUGUGGUUCUCAGCCACGCAAUUUGUGGUAUUUCGUGGCAGCAGCCCUGGGAAACCAACAAAAUCCCCAAACACUUGGGGGGCUUAGUUAGGGUUCCUUCCAAAGAAGACAUUGAAAUAUGGGCAAUCGGUACCAGUUGUGGGAAGCACCAAUGAGUAUGGGGAGAGCAGCCAAUAAAGGAUGCAUUCGUGAGUAAGUUGCUGCUGUGGGCAGCUGGGCUCCAUCCCACUGGGACUCUCUGAGUAGAACAAGCAGAACGUAUCUCAGAAUUGUUCCACUGGAGGACAGGUUUAGCAUUUACCCACUGACUGUAGCCCCAGUUGGUUGUAGGUUGCCCCCAGGUUAAUUUCCUCCCGCUUUAGGGGUGAGCCUUGCAGUCACCAUCUUGCAAUUUUUAAUAAUUUCUUCUUUGAAACUGGGUGUUGUCAGUGAAAUCUAAUGGAACAACGGAGCAUAUGUUCAUUGUGGUCCUGCCUCCCCUGCCUCCCCACCUUUCCACCACCCGCCUCGCUGGAAUGGGUUCUUGGCUGACUGCUCCAUCACCCCAACCUGACAGCACUGCUGAUUUCUGCAUCAGCGGGAGCCUGGCGUGGGCAUGGGGAGAACUGGGCAUGCGUCAAGCUGUGGGGUGAGGCUUCGCUGAGGUCGUCCCUUGU